rnacentral:misc_RNA from 1 species
UCGUUGUGUGAUGUGAUUUAGAAUUUAAGUUUGCUGGCAGACCCUAGCUUCUUAUCAUUCCAGGACUCAAUCAAUUGAGAUGAGGUUGAUAGGAUGCUGGGCUCAUUGUAAUUCGCAAGAAUUGCAGAGAUGUUCAGCAGAACCUUGACAACUGCAUAGGUAAGUCUGGAAAGAAUAAAGCAUCUCAUAGAUGCAUGAUUCUUGGGAAUCCGCUGAUGCAAUCUGCGCGAGCAGAGAGCUGAGGUUGAUCAACGAGAAUGAUGUUUGAUUCUUGAGUCAAGAGCUGAGACUCUAUAGCGUUCUUUCGAUGUCAUCGAGUCAUCGAGAGUUUGAUUGGUGAUUCAAACCAUCUUCAAUGACAAACAAUUCAGUUUAAUU